AAGGGUCAUGUGAUGAUUAGUAGCAUAGUUCACAUGAUUAAUCUGUGAUUACACUAAUCUUUUUAAGUCUUUCGCUCCUAUCUGAUGAUCCCU